rnacentral:rRNA from 1 species
UACGGAGGGGGCUAGCGUUGUUCGGAAUUACUGGGCGUAAAGCGCACGUAGGCGGACUGUUAAGUCGGGGGUGAAAUCCUGGGGCUCAACCUCAGAAUUGCCUCCGAUACUGGCAGUCUCGAGUGCGGGAGAGGUGAGUGGAAUUCCCAGUGUAGAGGUGAAAUUCGUAGAUAUUGGGAAGAACACCAGUGGCGAAGGCGGCUCACUGGCCCGUAACUGACGCUGAGGUGCGAAAGCGUGGGGAUCAAACAGG